rnacentral:lncRNA from 1 species
GUUUUUCCAAAGCCUUCCAACAGCAACAUGAAGUUGGCAGCCUUCCUCCUCCUUGUGAUCCUCAUCAUCUUCAGCCUAGAAUUACAAGAGCUUCAGGCUGCAGUGAGACCGUUGCAGCUUUUGGGUGUCUGACCCUUCUCAACACAGCAUCAGACAGCCACCUCUAUUGACUGAAGUUGACAUGGAGAAUAAAACUCAUUACCCCUGCUGAAUCCAGGGGCCCCUUUUUACAGAUGAGAAAAGUUCCAGAAAGACCCAGAGAUAUAAUCAGGUACCUGCGUCGAGCUCUGCACAGGUGACUGGGACUGCAACCCCGGAGACCACUGUGUCAGCAAUGGGUGUGGCCAUGAGUGUGCUGCAGAGUAAGGACAGAUGAAGAGUUAUCUUAAGGAUCAUCUUUCUCUAAGAUCGUCAUCCCUUUCUGGAGUUCCUAUCUUCCAAGAUGUGACUGUCUGGAGUUCCUUGACUAGGAAGAUGGAUGAAAACAGCAAGCCUGUGGAUGGAGACUAUAGGGGAUAUGGGAGGCAGGGAAGAGGGGUUGUUUCUUUUAAUAAAGCAUCAUUGUUA